rnacentral:rRNA from 1 species
UAGGUAGGUGGUCUCAUUUGUCUGGGGUGAAAUCCUUGGGCUUAACCCAAGAAGUGCCCCAGAAGCGGUGAGACUGGAGUCCUGGAGAGGGUCGUGGAAUUCCCGGUGUAGCGGUGAAAUGCGUAGAGAUCGGGAGGAACACCAGAGGCGAAGGCGGCGACCUGGACAGGUACUGACACUGAACUACGAAAGCGUGGGGAGCAAACAGGAUUAGAUACCCUGGUAGUCCACGCCGUAAACGAUGGGUACUAGGUUUGGUGGGUCUUGACCCCCGCCGAACCGGCGCUAACGCACUAAGUACCCCGCCUGGGAAGUACGGUCGCAAGACUAAA